rnacentral:lncRNA from 10 species
AAUAAUUGCUCUUCUGAAUCUGUGGAACUUGGGAUAAACUUUUAUUGGUAUGAGAGCUCCCCAUAUCUUCCUAUCUUUUUCUAAUAGAAUUGGUCUCUCAUUGUUGGCAAAAUCGUAAAGAACCCAGAGAGAGAUUUCUAUUCACAGUACCAAGAAAGAUCUAUUCCAUGUGAGGUUACCUAAUGGUUACUUUGGUCCUUUUUUGUGGAGGAAAUGAGUGUUGGGCACCUCUAGUUAGCCAUCUUCACAUUUCAGUUUUUAUUAAACCAAAAAAAUAAAAUUAGUAAUCAUAGUUAUAGGCUUUAAACAUGCAGCCACUUCAAACACUGCCCUCAGCAGGAGUGGAGGAACUUUAAACCUUCUCUUUGAAUUUGGGCAGGUCCUAUGUCCACUAUGACAUGCAACAGAAUAUGACAGAAGUGUCAUGUGCCUGUUUCCAGGUCUUUGAACAGUAAGUGAAUCAAGGCAGUGACCAGCCCCGGUUACAGCAGAAAGCUGAAGUGAUCCUGAAAGGUUUUCUUUGGAAAGAAGUAUACUUAGUGCAAUAGAUGAGCCUGAGUAAUUUUAAGAAUAUGGUAAAAAUUCAUUUUUAACUUGACAACAAUGGCAAUAAAAUAAAUUACAUAAGACAAUAAAUUGAUUGAUGAAGUCAAUUAAAAAAACAAACAAACAGGAACUCUUCCUCCAUCAUGGUAUUUUUUGGAGCCUCCAAAAAAAAAAAAAAAAAAAGAGGAAAGAAAGAAACAGGAGUAGCUACUUUUGAAUGAGUCAUUCUAAAAUAUUUUAAAAAUGUAACAAAAGUGAACCCAUUUGAGUUGGACAUUAGGAAUUUUCUUCCUCCAAUUGUAAAAACAUUGUAACACUGGAUGUAAAAAGAAGAAAAUGAAUGCAAUGCCUUUAAUUGAAUUUGUGGUAAACGGUAUGUACAUGGCCACAGAAACAAAUGGUAUUUAUUGGUCUUUAGUCUUCACUUCAGUAAAAGCUAAAGACAAAGCACAUAACAAUUACAGUUUCAGAAA